GCAGGAAUCCUGUAUGGUGCUGCUGUUUCUGGAGCUAAGAACAUCCUGGUCUCAUUUCAGCUGAUGGAGCCUCUCCACUGGAGUGUGGCACAGCCCGUUCUCUGAUGUUGUUCUCCCUGAUGCCCACACCAAUCAUCUGAUCUCUUUUGUCCCAACAAGUGCGUGGCUCCUCAUAUGGUACUGUCCUCACGUCACUGCAGCUGUCUCUGAAAGUUUCCAGUGCUGGCUACAGCUGCUUUACAUCAAGAUUUACCUGCACACUUUGAGCUGGUUUCCUGGGCUCGUCUUCAUCAUUUCUAGAAUCAUGACCACUGUGGCAAAUAUACCCAUAAGAAUACUUGAUAGUGGACUGGCUGUAAGGUGCAGCUACCAGCAGGUUCAUGAAGAGGAGGAAACUGAUGAAGAUGACCUCUUACCCCUAAUGAAUGUCUGUAGUGCUGAUGUUGAU